CCUACGGGAGGCAGCAGUGGGGAAUAUUGGGCAAUGGGCGCAAGCCUGACCCAGCAACGCCGCGUGAAGGAAGAAGGCUUUCGGGUUGUAAACUUCUUUUCUCAGGGACGAAGCAAGUGACGGUACCUGAGGAAUAAGCCACGGCUAACUACGUGCCAGCAGCCGCGGUAAUACGUAGGUGGCAAGCGUUAUCCGGAUUUACUGGGUGUAAAGGGCGUGUAGGCGGGAAAGCAAGUCAGAUGUGAAAACCAUGGGCUCAACCUGUGGCCUGCAUUUGAAACUGGUUUUCUUGAGUACUGGAGAGGCAGACGGAAUUCCUAGUGUAGCGGUGAAAUGCGGAGAUAUUAGGAGGAACACCAGUGGCGAAGGCGGUCUGCUGGACAGCAACUGACGCUGAGGCGCGAAAGCGUGGGGAGCAAACAGGAUUAGAUACCCUAGUAGUC
rnacentral:rRNA from 1 species